rnacentral:rRNA from 1 species
UACGAAGGGGGCUAGCGUUGUUCGGAAUUACUGGGCGUAAAGCGCGCGCAGGCGGUCCUUUAAGUCAGGGGUGAAAGCCCAGAGCUCAACUCUGGAACUGCCUUUGAAACUAGAGGACUUGGGUACGGGAGAGGUGAGUGGAAUUCCGAGUGUAGAGGUGAAAUUCGUAGAUAUUCGGAAGAACACCAGUGGCGAAGGCGGCUCACUGGCUCGUAACUGACGCUCAGGCGCGACAGCGUGGGGAUCAAACAGG